GGUGCUUAAGUAAACGGCGGCCGUUCGUAGCGGUUUUAAUGUAGCGCAAUUUCUUGCCCUUUAAUUGGGGGAGGGUGGAAUGGGUUGACGUUGGGGGGUCUGUCUCCUAAGCAGUGUGUAGAAAUUUUCUUCUUAGUGAAAAGCCUGAGAUGUAUUUAAAAGACGAGAAGACCCUGUCGAGCUUGAUGGUUACUGGUUUGCCGAGGCGGCGGGCUUAGUGAGAAAUUUGGUUGGGGCAACUCUGGAGAAAUCAAAACCUCUGGACAUUUAUAGUGAGGAUCCAUUAUUUAAUGACUUACAUUAGAAGAAGUUACCGCAGGGAUAACAGCGCGGCGCCCCCUGAGAGGUCUUAUUAAAGGGGGAGAGUGCGACCUCGAUGUUGGAUUAGGAUUGCUCACUGGCGCAGCAGCUAGAAGAGUGGGUCUGUUCGCCCCUUAAAAUCCUACAUGAUCUGAGUUCAAACCGGAGA
rnacentral:rRNA from 1 species